rnacentral:ribozyme from 2 species
CCAUUAACUACGCCGUUGACCAGUCCAAAGCCUGGUAUGUGAAAGUAGGAUGGGUGG